UUACAGCUGAAACGGUUUUUGAAUAUUAACAGGUUUUCUCCCGUUGACAUGGCACCGAUGAACACCAGUCAAAAUAUUUGAUAUGGCUGAAUAGAUUUUUGGACAAAAUUCUUGUGUCACUUCACUUAAACUAGUUAUGGAACAAACGCGUAAUCAUGAUGUAAUCGCAUGACUAGGAG